CCUACGGGGGGCUGCAGUGGGGAAUAUUGCACAAUGGGCGCAAGCCUGAUGCAGCCAUGCCGCGUGUGUGAAGAAGGCCUUCGGGUUGUAAAGCACUUUCAGCGGGGAGGAAGGCGUUAAGGUUAAUAACCUUGGCGAUUGACGUUACCCGCAGAAGAAGCACCGGCUAACUCCGUGCCAGCAGCCGCGGUAAUACGGAGGGUGCAAGCGUUAAUCGGAAUUACUGGGCGUAAAGCGCACGCAGGCGGUCUGUCAAGUCGGAUGUGAAAUCCCCGGGCUCAACCUGGGAACUGCAUUCGAAACUGGCAGGCUAGAGUCUUGUAGAGGGGGGUAGAAUUCCAGGUGUAGCGGUGAAAUGCGUAGAGAUCUGGAGGAAUACCGGUGGCGAAGGCGGCCCCCUGGACAAAGACUGACGCUCAGGUGCGAAAGCGUGGAGAGCAAACAGGAUUAGAUACCCUAGUAGUC
rnacentral:rRNA from 1 species